rnacentral:rRNA from 1 species
UGGGGAAUUUUGGACAAUGGACGCAAGUCUGAUCCAGCCAUGCCGCGUGCGGGAAGAAGGCCUUCGGGUUGUAAACCGCUUUUGUCAGGGAAGAAAAGGCUCCGGAUAAUACCUGGGGCUCAUGACGGUACCUGAAGAAUAAGCACCGGCUAACUACGUGCCAGCAGCCGCGGUAAUACGUAGGGUGCAAGCGUUAAUCGGAAUUACUGGGCGUAAAGCGUGCGCAGGCGGUUAUGUAAGACAGAGGUGAAAUCCCCGGGCUCAACCUGGGAACUGCCUUUGUGACUGCAUGACUAGAGUACGGUAGAGGGGGAUGGAAUUCCACGUGUAGCAGUGAAAUGCGUAGAUAUGUGGAGGAACACCGAUGGCGAAGGCAAUCCCCUGGACCUGUACUGACGCUCAUGCACGAAAGCGUGGGGAGCAAACA